rnacentral:lncRNA from 1 species
UUGCUUUUUAGACAGUACAGUAGAAUGAAGCUUUCAAUAUCUCAUUUUAAUGGUUGUGUUUAUAACUUGAUUUGUUAUUUGAUGUUUUGUAUAAUUUAUUUGUUUAUCUUAUUUUAUUAUUUGUUGUGUGGUUUUAAUUCUUUGUAAAUCCUUUAUAGUUACCCUAUCAAUCUUGAUAAAUGCAAUAAUAUAUGCAUGGGUAAAAGAAUAAUAACCAAAAAUUAAAAAUUUGAAUGAAGUUCGCCAAAGCUGAUAAAAAUGUAGGCCUUUCAUGUCCACAUAUUUUGAAUAAUUACAAUUUAAUCCUUAU